GGAGAGAUGGCUCAGUGGGUAAGAGCACUGACUGCUCCUCCAGGGGAUCUGGGUUCAAUUCCCAGCAUCCA
rnacentral:tRNA from 1 species